rnacentral:rRNA from 1 species
GGGGGAUAAGCUUCAUUGCCAAGAGGGAAACAGCCCAGAUCACCAUUUAAGGCCCCUAAAUAAUUGCUAAGUGAAAAAGGAUGUAAUCAUACAUAGACAACCAGGAGGUUUGCUUAGAAGCAGCAAUCCUUUAAAAAGUGCGUAAUAGCUUACUGGUCAAGUGUUUUUGCGCCGAAAAUGAACGGGACUAAGCAAUUUGCCGAAGAUGUGAGAUUCUUUAUAAGAAUCGGUAGAAGAGCGUUCUGUAUUAGUUAGAAGCAAUAGUGAAAACAGUUGUGGACUAAUCAGAAGUGAGAAUGUCGGCUUAAGUAACGAAAAUGUUGGUGAGAAUCCAAUACCCCGAAAACCUAAGGGUUCCUUCGCAAGGUUCGUCCGCGAAGGGUUAGUCAGGUCCUAAAACGAGGUUUAAAAACGUAGUUGAUGGCAAACAGGUUAAUAUUCCUGUACUACUUUUUGUUAGAUUUAGAGUGACGAAGCUGGCUAAAUCAGCCAAAGACUGGUUGUUUUGGUUUAAUCUUUUAAGGUGUAGAGAAAUAUUAUAAUAAAAAAUAUUUUGAGCUGAGAAGAGAGUACGAGAGAUAUUACGGUAUUACAAGUGAUUGAUGUCAUACUUCCAAGAAAACUCUUAAAAUUACUGGAAAAAGUACCUGUACCACAAACUGACACAGGUAGGUAGGUAGAAAAUACUAAGGGGCGCGAGAUAACUCUUUCUAAGGAACUCGGCAAAAUAAUUCUGUAACUUCGGAAGAAAGAAUGCCUCUCGUUACAACAGUGAUUGAGAGGUCGCAGUAAUAAGACCCAGGCGACUGUUUACCAAAAACACAGGUCUCCGCUAAGUUGAAAAACGAUGUAUGGGGGCUGACGCCUGCCCAGUGCCGGAAGGUUAAAGAAGUUGGUUAGUGUUUGCGAAGCUGAUGACUGAAGCCCUGGUGAACGGCGGCCGUAACUAUAACGGUCCUAAGGUAGCGAAAUUCCUUGUCAGGUAAGUUCUGACCCGCACGAAAGGCGUAACGAUUUGGGUACUGUCUCAGAAAGAGACUCGGUGAAAUAGAACUGACUGUGAAGAUGCGGUCAUCUCGCACUUGGACAGAAAGACCCUAUGAAGCUUUACUGUAAUUUGAUAUUGUUUUUGGAUUUUCCUUGCGCAGCAUAGGUGGGAGGCGAUGAACCUCUUUUUUGGAAGUAGGUGAGCCGUAAUAUGAGAUACCACUCUGGGAAGAUUAGAAGUCUAAUAGUAUACUAUAAUCUAGAUACUUGACAGUUUCAGAUGGGCAGUUUUACUGGGGCGGUAGCCUCCUAAAAAGUAACGGAGGCGUACAAAGGUUUUCUCAUUCUAGACGGAAAUUAGUUGUCGAGUGUAAAGGCAUAAGAAAGCUUGACUGUGAGACUUACAAGUCGAGCAGAGACGAAAGUCGGUCUUAGUGAUCCGACGGUUCUGAGUGGAAAGGCCGUCGCUCAACGGAUAAAAGUUACUCUAGGGAUAACAGGCUGAUCUCCCCCAAGAGUCCACAUCGACGGGGAGGUUUGGCACCUCGAUGUCGGCUCAUCGCAUCCUGGAGCGGUAGUACGUUCCAAGGGUUGGGCUGUUCGCCCAUUAAAGCGGUACGUGAGCUGGGUUCAGAACGUCGAGAGACAGUUCGGUCCAUAUCCGGUGUGAGUGUUGGAGUAUUGAAAAGAUCUUUCCUUAGUACGAGAGGACCGGGAAGGGCACACCUCUGAUCUGCCAGUUUUUGUGCCAACAAAAUACGCUGGGUAGUCACGUGUGGAGUGGAUAACUGCUGAAAACAUA